rnacentral:lncRNA from 1 species
CUCACGAUGAGUGUAGCUGUUUUCUCUUCUGAGGCUGACAGGAAGGCAGUAGCAGCAUGUUUUCAAGAGAUGCCACCAGUACUUGAAUUCUAUGAGUUGGCCAGCAACAAAGAAAGUGGCUUGAAAGAGCAAGAAGUGAGUAGUGACACCCAAGGUGGGCGAGUGGAAUAUAAAAGCAUUCUCCAGGGUUCUUAGUAAAAUUAAGGAAGCGGAAUGUGAAAGGAGGCAUGCAUGACUGCAGUCAUGCAGGAUGGAGAGCUGAAUGAUUUUUAUUUGGAAAUUAAAGAAAAGGCCAAUUCAAAAGUCCUGAAAACUUGAGGACCCUCAGAGCAUCAAGGUUUCACCUGUUAUGAGAAAACGGGAUCAUAACCUUCCCUCCAAACUGGGAAGGAGCUGAGAGACCAAAGAAUGGUGCAGACAAGUCCAGCUUGGCAAAUAUGAGGUUUAAGACCAGAAAGACUGACUCCAGAGCCCAGGCUCUCAACCAUCAUACCAACUGGCCUCCUUUUGUUGAAGGCUGAGGACCAUAUGGCAAGCAUGAAGACAAUAUGAUUGGCACCUUGGUUCUGUUUGAAUCGUCCUCAUAUUACAAAUCUCCACUCUGAUUUACUUUGUGUAUUAUUAAACACGCACCAUAUAUUGUUUUUUGCUGG